UGGGGGAUAUUGCACAAUGGGCGAAAGCCUGAUGCAGCGACGCCGCGUGGGGGAUGAAGGCUUUCGGGUUGUAAACCUCUUUCGCUAUCGAACAAGGCCCGCUUAGGGUGGGUUGAGGGUAGGUGGAGAAGAAGCGCCGGCUAACUACGUGCCAGCAGCCGCGGUAAUACGCAGGGCGCGAGCGUUGUCCGGAAUUGUUGGGCGUAAAGGGCUUGUAGGCGGCUUGUUGCGCCUGCUGUGAAAACGCGGGGCUUAACUUCGCGCGUGCAGUGGGUACGGGCAGGCUUGAGUGUGGUAGGGGUGACUGGAAUUCCAGGUGUAGCGGUGGAAUGCGCAGAUAUCUGGAGGAACACCGAUGGCGAAGGCAGGUCACUGGGCCAUUACUGACGCUGAGGAGCGAAAGCAUGGGUAGCGAACAGG
rnacentral:rRNA from 1 species